UGGGGAAUAUUGCACAAUGGGCGCAAGCCUGAUGCAGCCAUGCCGCGUGUGUGAAGAAGGCCUUCGGGUUGUAAAGCACUUUCAGCGGGGAGGAAGGCGGUGAGGUUAAUAACCUCAUCGAUUGACGUUACCCGCAGAAGAAGCACCGGCUAACUCCGUGCCAGCAGCCGCGGUAAUACGGAGGGUGCAAGCGUUAAUCGGAAUUACUGGGCGUAAAGCGCACGCAGGCGGUUUGUUAAGUCAGAUGUGAAAUCCCCGGGCUCAACCUGGGAACUGCAUCUGAUAAUGGCAAGCUUGAGUCUCGUAGAGGGGGGUAGAAUUCCAGGUGUAGCGGUGAAAUGCGUAGAGAUCUGGAGGAAUACCGGUGGCGAAGGCGGCCCCCUGGACGAAGACUGACGCUCAGGUGCGAAAGCGUGGGGAGCAAACAGG
rnacentral:rRNA from 1 species